ensembl:snRNA U6 U6 spliceosomal RNA
GUGCUCACUUCAGCAGCACACAUACUAAAAUUGGAACAAGACAGAGAUUAGCAUGGUCCCUGCAUAAGGAUGACAUGCAAAGUUUUACAAUAGAACAAUGGAUGA